rnacentral:rRNA from 1 species
AUUCCAGCUCCAAUAGCGUAUAUUUAAGUUGUUGCAGUUAAAAAGCUCGUAGUUGGAUUUCGGUUGGAAGCGGCCGGUCCGCCGUUUGGUGUGCACUGGCUGGUUUCAACUUCCUGCCGAGGACGCGCUCCUGGGUUUAACGAUCUGGGACGCGGAGUCGGCGUGGUUACUUUGAAAAAAUUAGAGUGUUCAAAGCGGGCUUACGCUUGAAUAUAUUAGCAUGGAAUAACACUAUAGGACUCCUGUGCUAUUUCGUUGGUUGUGUACUGAGGUAAUGAUUAAUAGGGAUAGUUGGGGGUAUUCAUAUUUGAUUGUCAGAGGUGAAAUUCUUGGAUUUUUCAAAGAUGAACAAGUGCGAAAGCAUUUACCAAGGAUGUUUUCAUCA